UAACCGAUGCAGGAACUCCUUUACAAAAAGUACUAGUUUGAAAGGCUCGUUGGAAUUGAUCCGUUAUGGGAUUUACAUUGUACGCAACAGAAGCACUUGAAGUACUAAACAGAAUAGGUAUUAGUUUGGUAAUGGUUGAGUGAGCAGCAACCUUGGAUUAGGCAA